GUGGCUAAAAACUUCAUUAAAAUCAAGGAAGGGGCCCCCAUUAGUGUUAAGGACCGGAGCACCCCUGCCUUAGCCAAAUCAGACACCUCAAGAUGAGCUGACACCCCAGCCUGGGUAAACGAUACGUUUAGCCCAGCUGCCAAGGCUCUUUAUCUUUUUAAACACGGACUAGAAUGCUAAGGGAACAGGCCUCUUCCAAGACCCAACACAUGAGCUCAGCUGUAAGGCUGACAAUGUCGAUGUGCGCUUGCUGAAAAUGAGUAAAAUCACUCUAAUACCCUCCCUUGAGGGCAGGGCCAAAGAGUAAAAAUCACUCUAAUAGCUUCGCUUGCUGAUUUCUCCUCCUUUUUCUUUUUCUUUUUGUAAAUGGGUUUUGUUAAUGAGAGGAAAAUUAUACAAGCAGCAGAGAUUUCCCAAUACAUGUCUAGAUUAGAUACCAUACUCCUUCCAUAGAAAAGAGCAUCGGCUAUGUGAGCAACCUCAUGCAAAUAUGAUUGUAGAAGUCCUCUAUGCCAGUGGAUGAGCCCCAAAAUCCCAUCCAUGAUGCAAGCUGGCCUUGAUGGCCCCAAAGAGGUUUUGAAUUCCCAUGUAAUGACAUUGAAAGAAUAUGUUAAUAUGUUAACAGCUUUGUUUUUUUAUCUGCAGCGAUUUUAGCUGAGCAGAUAUGUUAUAGUUUCAUAAUUUUUUGUCACUGUAUUUUGCAGCAUUGUGCAGAUAAAAUUGGGUUGGGCUCGGGCAGGAUAUAUUGGGUUCGGUCUUGGGCUUGGGAUAUACAAACACCAACCCGAUAAAACUUGGGUCGGGCUCGGGCUGCCCGACCCAACCUGAACCCGAUCGAUAUAUAAGCUACUUAUAAAUUAUAAUUGAGUGUGGAUCGUCCAUGUUGAAGGCACAGGGAAUUCCACUGCUGUCAAGUCUCAUUGGUCCAUGUCAUUUCCGAUGACUCAAGCUAACAAGAUACAUCAGAUUUCUUUGUCCCAAAUAGAUUGCAUGCUACACAACACAACUUUUAAAGGAGUAGUAGUCCUGUAUUUUAGCUUGUUUGUUUAGUAAAAAUGAAGUUCUUUACGAUGAAUAAUUACAUAUAUAAUUAAUAAAAUCAUAGGUGCAAAAAAUAAGACAUGUAUUGAAAUAUAAUAGACUAAUGUAAUAACAAAAAUAUUAGCAUGUAACCACCUAACCAACCCUACCGAACCCGUUUGGGUUGGUCUUGGGUUGAGAAUUCCCAACCUAGGUUGGGUUGUGUUGGGUUGGGUUGGGUUAGGGUUGAGGUAUUGGAACCUCAGGUUGGGCUAGGGUUGAGCACCGACCCGCCUGACUUUCAGCCCUAGAUAAAAUGUAGUUUCAUAAUGUUAAUCGUUUCACUGACUGGUACAGAGUGGCUACUAAGAUUUUGGCUUUCUUGUGUCUGUUCAUGGAUAAAUCUUUUCUUCUUUUAGAGGCUGAUUUAGUGUUAGCUGAUUGACCUUGUCUUACAUUUGUGAGGCUCAUUUUACAGAAAGAAGAAGCUGCUCAUCAGCACGAAUUUAUCUUACAUAUGGCCUUGGAUAUUGUUCAGGACCUUGCAUGGACCAAAAAUGCUAUAUUGAUGCUACUCCAUGAUUCUCGCAACGAGGAUGGGAUAAAAAGCUUUUUCCAGGAGGUCCAUGAGCUUUAGAUAAAGAUUUUUCUGAAUCCUCUAUACUUGCCGGGAUCUCACAUCACGUCAUCGCAUUUCGGCAUGAAUGUUUGAGCCCUCACAAGGAAAUAUCUGUAGCUGUUCAUUCAGUUGGUAUCAAUGUUGAGGUUGUGAUCCUUUUGAAUGGGAUCUUUUGGCUAUUUGGAUAUACAGGCGAAUCCAAUUGUGAAUUCAGUGGAGAUGACCACUUCUUUUGCUAAGAAUAUGAGCAGAGAAUUUCUUCAAUAUAGAAGGCUCCAUCAUUUUAAACAUGGUGAUCAUGGCGCGGUUUCAAAUUUUGCUUCUGCUGGUAGAUGGGAUGUUCUUCUCAUAAAUUGGUUUGAGAUGAGAACAGGCUUAGAAACUAGCUCCACCUUUUCAUUCUCAGAAGUUACAUUGGUGGUUGAAAAAGUCAGAAAACAGAAUUCCACAUAAUUCAGUUUCUGUUUUCCUUGCAGCGCCAAAUUGAAAAGGAGAUGGUUCAACCAACAGCGGUGCAGAAAUGAACUGAUACUGAUUUGAAUGUGCAUCCAAAUGGCCAGUGUUGGACAGUUGCCGUGAGGUUAAUGGAAAAUGAAUUAGUACCAUGUAAAAGGCAACCUUUACGGCCUGUUUGGAACAUGGGAUUAGGUGGUAUGGAAUUGCACUUGGUCCCAUGCAAAUUCCAUCCUGCAUUUGAAAACCAUGAGAAGGAUUUGAUUAAUCCUGGUAUAUCAUAUCAUCCAGUCCCAACAGCAGAUACUGCAGGAUUUCUAGUGGAUUUUGAAAUCUACUACAUCUGUGAGCCCCGAUGCUUGUGUUUUUUCUACGCUGUCCAUCCAUAUGCGCCCUUUACACGUGACAUUCGAGUUACAUAUGCGUACAGGUGACCGACAUCAGUUGUGAAUAUGGUCCGUUGAUUACAAUUCCAUAGUUGACCAAACACAAAUUUCACUUAUUAUAGUGCUUUUCCCAAAGGAAGAAUUUGAUCCCAAACAUGGGAUUGGAUGGUCAAAAUACCAUAGUAUUUCCAGACAUGCAAUCAAUGAUCAAUGAUGGUUUUUAUUUCCAUUUAAUGCAAUUGCAUACCAUUUAAUCCCAUGAGCCAAACAGGAUGGUGAUCAGAUAUGAAUUUGUUUAGGGAUCUGACCAAGCUGGGAAAAGAAGUGAUAAGAUACAGGGAAGAUACCACAACUUUUGGUCCCGAGAACAAUCUUUUCCACCAGCACGCCACAUAUGUAAGAAGACCAAUACCAUGAAAACAGUAGGCCCCACCAUGAAGAUCACUUGGGACAAAAAUCAAGCUGCUCUGCUCAUGUAGGUGGGUCACUAUAUGGAUGAGUGGACAGCUGACAGUCGGGCUCAGCACACUGGUGUUGCCCACCUAGUGAGUGGAUCAGCUUGCUUAACGACAAGCUUGAUCUUCAUGGUGGGGCCCACUGUUUUCAUUGUACUUGUGUCCAAGAAAAUGGUACUGUUGCUUUUAGAUGAUCAGUACUGUGAUUGCUCUGGGGCUGGUAAACAGUCCUACAGGGAUGAGGAGAGGGGAGAACUGGGUGGCUUGACCUUUUGUAUUGUUUUGCAGCUAGUGAGAUGCUGACAGUAGGGGUGGCUAUGGACCUGGUGGCUUGGCUAUGUACAGGGCAUCCACGAUGGAAGCCCAAAUACUAGAGUUUGGAGAUUCUUAAACUGGUUUGGGUUCAGUUUUGUAAUGGAUGGUUGUUAUUAGGUUGCGAAUUUAAAUUCUUCACUGAGCACUGAUGUGGCUAGUUGCGAGAAUCCUAUUCCCUGGGUGUGCAAAUGUGGCACAUGCUAGAGAUCUAGGCUGUCCAUCAAGUUGUCUUUGCAUGCAUUAUAUUCCAAAAAUGGCAUCAACCAUUGUUGCAAGGAGCAAAAUCACAUUUGGAGAGUUUUGGAGAUUCUUAAGGUAUUUAAACUACAAGAAGAAAAGAAAAACACAUGGACAUUACCUGAACAUCACAUCGCCACUCCAUUUAACAAUAUUUGGAAUGUCUUUUUUCUUUUUUCUUUCUCCUUUUUUU